rnacentral:lncRNA from 1 species
GAAAAACUGCAUCGAUCACAUCGGUGCCUUAGAUCAGAUCUAACUGUUAGAUCUAAUCAGAUGAGUUCAAAACUCAUUAUCUUUAUAUGGAUCGAUGAUCACCACUAUUGAUAGGUAUGUUAUGAGGUUCUUUCUAAUGUCGAGCAGCCGUACAGCUCAUUUGGCCUCUACAGAUUGUCCACUCGAAGCCCUGAUCGGAUCAUCCUUCCCGAGAGUGCUAGCUCGUGCAGCAGGCACUGGAUAGUUAGAAUAAGCUUCUUCUUUUGGAUCACCCAGACUCUUUCAGGUCAGAGGAUGAAGCUACAUGAGGAGGUAGUGGUGUGGG